rnacentral:rRNA from 1 species
GACGAACGCUGGCGGCGUGCCUAAUACAUGCAAGUAGGACGCACAGUCUAUACCGUAGCUUGCUACACCAUAGGCUGUGAGUUGCGAACGGGUGAGUAACGCGUAGGUAACCUGCCUAUUAGAGGGGGAUAACUAUUGGAAACGAUAGCUAAUACCGCAUAACAGUAUGUAACACAUGUUAGAUGCUUGAAAGAUGCAAUUGCAUCGCUAGUAGAUGGACCUGCGUUGUAUUAGCUAGUAGGUAGGGUAAUGGCCUACCUAGGCAACGAUACAUAGCCGACCUGAGAGGGUGAUCGGCCACACUGGGACUGAGACACGGCCCAGACUCCUACGGGAGGCAGCAGUAGGGAAUCUUCGGCAAUGGGGGGAACCCUGACCGAGCAACGCCGCGUGAGUGAAGAAGGUUUUCGAAUCGUAAAGCUCUGUUGUUAAGGAAGAACGAGUGUGAGAAUGGAAAGUUCAUACUGGACGUACUAACCAGAAAGGACG